UGGCCAGGGAGUCCUUUGGCAAACAGUGC
rnacentral:piRNA from 1 species